rnacentral:rRNA from 1 species
GACGAACGCUGGCGGCGUGCUUAAAACAUGCAAGUCGAACGGACUUCUCAUGAAGCUUGCAAUUGAGAAGUUAGUGGCGGACGGGUGAGUAACGCGUGGGCAACCUGCCCCUGAGCCCGGGAUAACAGUUCGAAAGGACUGCUAAGACCGGAUAUACUUGCGGGGAAGCAUUUUCUCUGUAAGGAAAGGGAACGCUCAGGGGAUGGGCCCGCGUCCCAUUAGCUAGUUGGUGAGGUAACGGCCCACCAAGGCGACGAUGGGUAGCCGGCCUGAGAGGGUGAACGGCCACACUGGGACUGAGACACGGUCCAGACUCCUACGGGGGGCAGCAGUGGGGAAUCUUCCACAAUGGGCGAAAGCCUGAUGGAGCGACGCCGCGUGAGCGAAGAAGGCCUUCGGGUUGUAAAGACGUCUGUCUGGAGGGACGGAAGGAAGGUAGACGGUACCGUCCGGACGGAAGACCACGGCUAACUAACGUGCCAGCAGCCGCGGUAAGCACGAGAGUA